UACGGAGGAUCCAAGCGUUAUCCGGAUUUAUUGGGUUUAAAGGGUGCGUAGGCGGGGAAUUAAGUCAGUGGUGAAAGUUUGCAGCUCAACUGUAAAAUUGCCAUUGAAACUGAUUUUCUUGAGUGUAAAUGAGGUAGGCGGAAUGUGUUGUGUAGCGGUGAAAUGCUUAGAUAUAACACAGAACACCGAUUGACGAAGGCAGCUUACGUGGGAUACAACUGACGCUGAUGCACGAAAGGACGUGGGGAAUCGAAAACAGG
rnacentral:rRNA from 1 species